AUUGAACGCUGGCGGCGUGCCUAACACAUGCAAGUCGAGCGGUAACAGGUGUAGCAAUACAUGCUGACGAGCGGCGGACGGGUGAGUAACGCUUGGGAAUCUGCCUGUUAGUGGGGGACAACCCGGGGAAACUCGGGCUAAUACCGCAUACGCACUACGGUGGAAAGCCGGGGACCGCAAGGCCUGGCGCUAACAGAUGAGCCCAAGUCGGAUUAGCUAGUUGGUAGGGUAACGGCCUACCAAGGCGACGAUCCGUAACUGGUCUGAGAGGACGACCAGUCACACCGGAACUGAGACACGGUCCGGACUCCUACGGGAGGCAGCAGUGGGGAAUAUUGGACAAUGGGCGAAAGCCUGAUCCAGCGACGCCGCGUGGGUGAAGAAGGCCUGCGGGUUGUAAAGCCCUUUCGGUAGGGGAAGAAAAGCCUCGAGUUAAUACCUCGGGGUCUUGACGUAACCCAUAGAAGAAGCACCGGCUAACUCUGUGCCAGCAGCCGCU
rnacentral:rRNA from 1 species